rnacentral:rRNA from 1 species
UACGUAGGGUGCGAGCGUUAAUCGGAAUUACUGGGCGUAAAGCGUGCGCAGGCGGUAAUGUAAGACAGAUGUGAAAUCCCCGGGCUUAACCUGGGACCUGCAUUUGUGACUGCAUUGCUGGAGUGCGGCAGAGGGGGAUGGAAUUCCGCGUGUAGCAGUGAAAUGCGUAGAUAUGCGGAGGAACACCGAUGGCGAAGGCAGCCUCCUGGGCCAACACUGACGCUCAUGCACGAAAGCGUGGGGAGCGAACAGG